rnacentral:rRNA from 1 species
ACCGAAUAGAUACCCGGUAGUCCACGCCGUAAACGAUGGAUGCUGGCUGUGAGAGGUAUCGACCCCUCUCGUAGCGAAAGCUAAACGCGUUAAGCAUCCCGCCUGUGGAGUACGGUCGCAAGACUAAAACAUAAAGGAAUUGACGGGGACCCGCACAAGCGGUGGAGCGUGUUGUUUAAUUCGAUGGUAAACGAAGAACCUUACCCAGGUUUGACAUCCUUGGAAAGUUUUCCGAAAGGAAAAUGUGCUUUAUUGAACCAAGUGACAGGUGUUGCAUGGCCGUCGUCAGCUCGUGUCGUGAGAUGUUUGGUUAAGUCCAUCAACGAGCGCAACCCUUAUGGUCUGUUGUAUUUUUCAGGCCAGACUGCCCUGGCAACAGGGAGGAAGGAGGGGAUGAUGUCAGGUCAGUAUUACCCUUACAUCUGGGGCUACAAACACGCUACAAUGGCCGGUACAAGGGCUGCCAAGUCGCGAGACGGAGCAAAUCCCAUCAAAGCCGGUCUCAGUUCGGAUAGCAGGCUGAAACUCGCCUGCUUGAAGCCGGAACCGC